GAUGAACGCUAGCGGCGCGCCUAACACAUGCAAGUCGAACGAUUAAAGCACCUUCGGGUGUGUAUAAAGUGGCGAACGGCUGAGUAACACGUGGGCAACCUGCCCCUCUCAUUGGGAUAGCCACGGGAAACCGUGGAUAAUACCGAAUACUUCGGGACUUCCGCAUGGAAGACUCGAGAAAGCUCCGGCGGAGAGGGAUGGGCCCGCGGCCUGUUAGCUUGUUGGUGGGGUAAUGGCCUACCAAGGCAAUGAUGGGUAGCUGGGUUGAGAGACCGACCAGCCAGAUUGGGACUGAGACACGGCCCAGACUCCUACGGGAGGCAGCAGUGGGGAAUCUUGCACAAUGGGCGAAAGCCUGAUGCAGCGACGCCGCGUGCGGGAUGAAGGCCUUCGGGUUGUAAACCGCUUUCAGCAGGGACGAGGCGAAAGUGACGGUACCUGCAGAAGAAGCCCCGGCUAACUACGUG
rnacentral:rRNA from 1 species